rnacentral:lncRNA from 1 species
ACCCCUCAUUGCAGGUGCUAGUUCGAACGUCCCGACCGAGCGGGAGGAUCGCGGCAAGGGCUUGGCGCCCUAGCGGUAUCAGUUGAUAGCUUACUUUCUGUCACGCCCCGUGACCGCUACCAAUUUGGUCCGGCCCGGGCGCGUCGAACAGACGCCGAACGGACAGGACCUCCCCUGUCCGCCCAAGACAACCAACAGAUCAUGUAUAAGAAUUUACCCAGGAAUUCAAUUCAUAAAUACACGCUCAAGAAGCACCACCAGUGCGACAAACAAGAGCAAGAUACAAGUAUAGAAACAUAUACAAGUACAUAAAGAGAGAAGAGCAAUCUAUUACAUUCAUUUGACUUAAUACAUUCAAUUACAUCUUUUACAUUCUUCCAAAAUAUAAAUACAAUCACUCGAACCUCACCCUAUACAUCAUCUACUCUCAAAUAUAAAAGGGUGACGGAUAGUGCAAAAAGGGAGGUAGCUAAUGCUACUAAAGCGCCGGGCCCUUACCGCGAUCCUCACGCUCACCGGGGACACCCGAACUGGAACCUGUAGUAAAAUGGGGGUGAGAACUAACUUCCUUAGUUCCCAGUGGGUUCGGCCGCCGACUCCGCCGAUCUCCCCACUAGGUCCAAGCGGGCACAAGUAGAUAUACCAAUAGAUAGAUAAUAAGAAAAGCUGUAAAUGACCGGAAUAAAACUACUCUACUAUGCCCAAUCACAAAUACAUGAUGCAUGUACAAUGAAAUAGGUAAGCAGCUAACCGGUUAUUAUGUCCAAAGAUAAAGCUAUUCACUCGAUUGUUUACCUCAUUUACUUGUUCAUCAAUCUCGUGGCUUACCCGAAGGCUCGCCUACAGCUCACUAGC